GAAGCUAGUUCUUCCAGUGCUGCUAGUGGUUAUUCAGUAGUUAUUCAUUGAAAAAACGAGAAAGAAAUUCAAAAAACUUCUGACAAUUAUGACUACAAUGACAAUCGUAUAAAGAAGCCAUUAGAACAUUUAUUAGUAGACGUCUUUAAAAUCAAUGAACUGAGUAUUAGCUUCGUACAUUCAUUCAUAGGUGGCCGCACUGCCGCAACUGUAUUACCGAUUGCCUGCCUCGACUGAAUAAUUAAUCCUUUCGCCAUUUUGGCCCCCUUUAGGGUUUCAUUCCUUUGAAGAACGGUUUUUCAAGUGAUUAUCUUCCUUUUUACAAGCUUUUCGUACCGGAAAAAUUCGUGACUUUUGAAAUUUUUCGCGUUUUCCGUGUCGCAUAAUACUCAACAGUUAUUCCGACUCAUCGUUUAUAAAGAAGAACAAUUAAGCUGCCAUUACACAAUGCAGAUUUUCAACGAAAGGAAAGUACGUGAAAACUGGGACUGAAGUUGAAUCAAGGAAUUGUUUUCAAGUGAGUUUCAACAUGAAGUCGUGAAGGGAAUGACAUCAAAAAUGUAAAAUAGUGGAAACUGUUGUUCAUCACAUCCGGUAUGGAUUGCAACGAAAACAGAAUCGAGUUUUUCUUCAAUUGGAAACUGUUGUUCAUCACAUCCGGUAUGGAUUGCAACGAAAACAGAAUCGAGUUUUUCUUCAAUAAGACUGACAAGAAAGAAAAUAAAGAUGAUGACGAUCAGGAUCGAUGAGUGAUUCAGGUGAAGAAUUCGAAGAUGUUGGAAAAGUCAAUAGCGGAAACUGGUGAGAAGAAAAUGCAGAUGAUAAUCAGAAGGGUGACCACCAGGAAGGUGAAGAUGUAGAAAGAGUCCAUAGCGGUUUAGUUGAAAGUUUGCGUAAACUCUGUAAGUUCCUGGAUAAUAUAGACUGAAUCAAGUUGGAUGAAUGGAUUGAAGAUAGGCUACAAUGAAAUUUAAUGUCCACCCUCUGGCAUCAUCUGGAUGACUGGCAAGAAAGAAAAUGAAGAUGAUGACAAUCAGAAGGGUGAAGAAUUUGAAAAUUUGUUAUGAAUGGGUUCAUGACUACCAGGAAGGUGAAGAUGUAGAAUAAGUCGAUAGCCGUGAGUUAAAGAAGUUUGAAGUUUGCAUGAGAGCGUAAGUUUGUACAUGUGGAGUUUCUGGACUGAAUCAAUUUAAAUGAAUGGAUUGAGGAUCGGCCCAAAUGAAAUGUUUUGUCCACCUUUUGCAUGUGGCCAUAUGGAUAUAUAUUAUCCAGAAAUCCUCUGCAGAAGCAAACAACGGACAAAGCAGAAAUUCUUGAACAACCACCAACCAUCUGGAAAAAAAAAACUACAUCAAAUCCCCAGAAUUGAAACGAACCACAUAAAAUACCAUUGUAUUGUAUCUCACUAGGAAGCAAAACCCCAAAAAUAAAUAAAUAAAAUACAAAAAAACA